GACGAACGCUGGCGGCGUGCUUAACACAUGCAAGUCGAACGGAAAGGCCCUGCUUUUGUGGGGUGCUCGAGUGGCGAACGGGUGAGUAACACGUGAGUAACCUGCCCUUGACUUUGGGAUAACUUCAGGAAACUGGGGCUAAAACCGGAUAGGAGCUCCUGCUGCAUGGUGGGGGUUGGAAAGUUUCGGCGGUUGGGGAUGGACUCGCGGCUUAUCAGCUUGUUGGUGGGGUAGUGGCUUACUAAGGCUUUGACGGGUAGCCGGCCUGAGAGGGUGACCGGCCACAUUGGGACUGAGAUACGGCCCAGACUCCUACGGGAGGCAGCAGUGGGGAAUAUUGCACAAUGGGCGGAAGCCUGAUGCAGCAACGCCGCGUGCGGGAUGACGGCCUUCGGGUUGUAAACCGCUUUCGCCUGUGACGAAGCGUGAGUGACGGUAAUGGGUAAAGAAGCACCGGCUAACUACGUG
rnacentral:rRNA from 1 species